rnacentral:rRNA from 1 species
UACAGAGGUCCCAAGCGUUGUUCGGAUUCACUGGGCGUAAAGGGUGCGUAGGUGGCGCCGUAAGUGGGGUGUGAAAUUUCGGAGCUUAACUCCGAAACUGCAUUCCAUACUGCGGCGCUUGAGGACUGGAGAGGAGACUGGAAUUCAUGGUGUAGCAGUGAAAUGCGUAGAGAUCAUGAGGAAGACCAGUGGCGAAGGCGGGUCUCUGGACAGUUCCUGACACUGAGGCACGAAGGCUAGGGGAGCGAACGGG